UCAUUGGUGGUUCAGUAGUAGAAUUCUUGCCUUCCAUGCAGGAGACCUGGGUUCAAUUCCCAGCCAAUGCA
rnacentral:tRNA from 1 species